AAACAGAAAUAACUUAUAUAUUAUUUUUUUCAUAUUUAACUGAAAAUGAACUUUAAGUAAUUGAAUUCCAGGUGAAUUCAGGAGAGCUGGUGUUGAUGGGUACGUAGUGAAGGAUGAUGACUUCAAGACUGCUUAUAUUACAUUACCGCUUGGAGAAACAUUUGAGUUUCCAAACUUGUUUCCUGAAAAAGUCAAAGAGAAGAAAGAUAAGGAUGAACAAGAAACACAAGAAGCCGCUAAACAAGGAUUUAAGAAGUUCUUGGAAAAAAAUAAAAACAGGCCUGGACUUCCUGGGUGGUACAGCGUUUAAUGUACAAAUAUAGUGUAUUAUUUAAUAUUUUUGUAAAUAUAGUAAAUUAUUGCUAUCA